GGGGCCUGUUGCACAAAAGUAGAAUUAAGACAUCCGGGAUAAAUGACUCAGCUGAGCUCAAUGAAGCCAAAACAUGUGCGUCCAGGCUUAAUUGGUUGCACAAAGACCAAGCCAGGAUGAGCAGACACGGAUUCAUUAAGCCAGGUGAAACCAAUCCUGGAUAGGUGCGCGCUCACGGCUCACUCAAAUAGACCCCGCCACAGAUCACAGAUUAACUGAUUUACCAUGGCAACUAGAGCCGCGUACUUUUCCCCGUCGGAAGCACAAAUCCUCAUGGAGGCAUACGAGGAGGUAAAAGAUAUAAUUAAGAAGAAAGGCAACACCGCCACAGUGAUAAAGCAAAGAGAAAAAGCGUGGCAAAGUAUUGCAGACCGCCUGAAUGCGUAAGUAGUGCACAAUUACACACUCACCGCUCCGCUGAAACAUCACAAUUACAAUUCAAAUAUUUAAUUCACAUCUCCAAAAAUGCAGUUGUACUGUAAUUAUGAAACGGUUAAAUUUUUAAUUGAAAUACACUGCAGAUAUGAGUGAAAUUGUGUAAAGUAACUCCAUCACACUGUAUAAAGCUAUGAUACAUUUUUUGAUAUUUUUACUGAAAACAAGACAAAAAUACCAAGUAAUUUUUUGCAGUGUGACUCCAUUAAAUGUGUGUGUGUGUGUGUGUGUGUGUGUGUGUGUGUGUGUGUGUGUAGAUUAAACAUGAACGGGCCAAAACGGACAUGGCAGCAGGUCAAAAUCAAAUACAAGAACAUUCUGCAGAAUGCAGUGAAAAAGAAUACCCACAGACAAGGCACGGGUGGUGGGUCACCAAAGGCUGACCUUACCCCAGCAGAGGACAUGGCCUUGGAGCUAAAUAAAGGCAGGCCCGUCUUAGAGGGGAUCCCUGGGGGGAAAGAGACGAGCAUAGGUUCCUCCCAAGAUGCCACCCGCUUCAUUCAAGGUAUGUCCUUCCAUCUCUACAUGGGAUACAACCACAUUCAUAUUGAAUCAAUUUGGACUGUCUGACUUUGGUUUACCUAUUGCCUGGCAGCACUGUGUUCCUGUUAGAGCCACCAGCACAAGCACCAGACGAUGCUGAUCCAGGUGAAGGCCCCAGUGCAGCAGCAACAGCACAUGAUGGAGACGAUGAUGAGGAGGAGACCAUCUCUCUGGAUUCCAGAAGGCAUGAGGUAUCAUGUUAAGACUGUGAAAGUACUAUUUACUCUACAAUGGUGAGGAGUCCUCAUCAAAAUCAAAAAAUCUAAUUUAUUUUACAGGACCCAGAUGCUAUACAGUGGGAAAACCAGCCUGGCAACAUAGUGCGUAUUAAUAAAAGGACACCACAUCCUGCCAAAUUCCAGCUGCGCUAAUUGUAUUGUGUUCACAGAGCUCACAAGCUAUCAGAAAGUUGUAUGGCAACCACCUCCGGCGCCAAAUAGAACUGGCAGACAUAGACAUUCAGUACAAGAAGAAAAAGAUGGAAAAUCUUGCACUGGAGUCCGAAAUAAAAAAGAGGACAAUUAGGAAACUGGACCUUGAAAUAAAAAAACUUGAGAGGGAGCUCCAAGAAGAUGACACAGCUCAAAAUAAAAAUUAGCAAUCAGUACAACCAAGUCAUCGUUAUAAGGCAUCGCCCUCUUUUGCCCACCCCCAGCACCAGGUGUGGCCACUAGCCUAUAUGAAGGCCCAAAAUUGUGUGUUCCUUUCUGCUCUGACAAUGGCAUGCCCAUUCGUGCGAGAUGUGGUGGAUGAAGAAGCACUUGUGCUGAGGAGAGCCUUCAGGCGAGAAAGGGUCUUCAGGGACCGGUUGGACCCACUGGCCUUCCCUGAUGACCAUCUAUAUGAAAGAUACAGGUUUUCUGCAGAUGGCAUCAGGUAUCUAUGCAGACUACUGGGUCCCAGGAUUAAGCACCGCACUGCACGGAGCCAUGCACUGAGUGUGGAGCAAAUGGUUUGUGUGGCCUUGCGCUUUUUUGCUAGUGGAGCCUUCCUGUACUCAGUGGGGGAUGCAGAACAGCUGAACAAGGCCACAAUUUGCUGCACAAUAAGGAGUGUGUGUCUGGCUAUCAAAGCAUUAGCAGAUGUCUUCAUCUCCUUCCCUGGCCACAGAAGACUCUGUGACAUCAAAGAGGAGUUCUAUAGGAUUGCAGAUGGUCUGCAAUGCUGACUGUGUGAUCAGCAAUGUUGUGGCAAAAUGGCCUGGCUCAGUCCAUGACUCCAGAAUCUUUCGGGCCUCUGAAAUCUAUCAGUGCCUAUCACAAGGUGAAUUCUCUGGUGUGUUGCUGGGAGACAGGGGUAUGGCUGCCAGCCUUUUCUCCUGACACCUUUCACAGACCCCCAGGAAGCACAGCAGGCCUACAACCAUGCCCAUGCCAGGACCAGGGCCAGAGUUGAAAUGACCUUUGGCCUCCUGAAGGCACGCUUUCACUGCCUUCACAAAUUAAGGGUCAGCCCUGUUAGGGCAUGUGAUAUUACUGUGGCUUGUGCUGUCCUCCACAAUGUGGCCUGCCUGAGGAAGGAGAGGGCCCCCAGAGUGCCACCAGCCAUGGACUGGGACAAUCCGGCAAUCUUCCCUGAUGACGACAGUGGUCGGCUGCUGAGGGACCAAUAUGUGUUGAAUUAUUUUAGUUAGUAUGUGUGCUUUCAAUUUUGGUUAAAUAUGUCCUGCGGUGGCAGAGGAAUUUGUUUUUUUUUUGUUCGUUUUUUGACGAAUUUGGCCUCUUAUGAUGUUUGUGCGGUAUACUGUGUGUAAUACAAGGCUGCAGGGAGGCUACUGCAUCCAUUCAUUUGUCUGUUCAGUUGAUGUGUAUGGAUUUGUCCUGCAUUUAUUUUAGUGUGCAGACAUGCAGGGUGUGUUAUAUACAGACCUUUGAAUGUGUAUGUAUCAUUUUGUAUAAUAUGCUUGGAUUCUGUGCUUUCCAUCUUGUAGAGUCACUGUGACUUCAGUUUCGAAAGGAGCUGAUGGUUUACCUGCUUUGUUUUGUCCUUAUUCAAUAAAGGAACAUAAUGUUACACAUUGUGUUUUUAUAUUCAUAUGGAAUGUGUAUUUGUUUAUAUGACAGAGUACUAGGGCCACACUGAAGAAAAAGGAUAAAGUCAUAAAUUUAUGAGGCUGGUUCUUUCUGCAGAAAAGCUACAUAUUGUUUUUACAGUUUUGAUACUUAUGACAAUGUGAUACUUAAUAUUCUGGCACAUCAGCAUGUCUUUGUUUAUGAAACCAUACUGAAGUACAAUUUCACGAAAUGCCCCACAUCUGUCAUUUUAACAACUGUCCUCCUUUAAAACAACUGGUUACAAUA